GGAGGGCAUUGUGCUCAGUCUGGAGAGUGUUGAGCUCGGUCCAGAGGGCGUUGUGCUCAGUCUGAAGAGCGUUAUGCUCGGACCGGAGGGCAUUAUGCUCGGACUGAAGAGUGCUGUGCUCGGUCUGGAGGGCAUUGUGCUCAGUCUGGAGAGUGUUGUGCUCGGUCCGGAGGGCAUCGCAGUUGGGUUGGAAGGCAUCGUGCUUGGCCUGGAGGGUGCCGCACUCAGACU